GGUAAUGUCUCCUGCACCUUUAUCACUGGAGGCACUCGAUCAUGCUGUGGGUCAGUGACCUUAGACGUUUGUCGUCAGGGGUGUGAUGUGAGGAAGGGUUCAAUGCCC
rnacentral:ncRNA from 1 species